AUGCAGGGGUGCGUCCCGGAGAACGGUCUCCGGAGCUGAGACGGGAAGUUCCCGAACCCUUAAACCUGAUACGGAUAAUGCCGGCGAAGGAAGCAGAA
rnacentral:ncRNA from 1 species